GAUGAACGCUAGCUACAGGCUUAACACAUGCAAGUCGAGGGGAAACGACAUCGAAAGCUUGCUUUUGGUGGGCGUCGACCGGCGCACGGGUGAGUAACGCGUAUCCAACCUGCCCACCACUUGGGGAUAACCUUGCGAAAGUAAGACUAAUACCCAAUGAUAUCCCACGAAGGCAUCCGAAUGGGAUUAAAGAUUUAUCGGUGAUGGAUGGGGAUGCGUCUGAUUAGCUUGUUGGCGGGGUAACGGCCCACCAAGGCUACGAUCAGUAGGGGUUCUGAGAGGAAGGUCCCCCACAUUGGAACUGAGACACGGUUCAAACUCCUACGGGAGGCAGCAGUGAGGAAUAUUGGUCAAUGGACGGGAGUCUGAACCAGCCAAGUCGCGUGAGGGAAGAAGGUCCUACGGAUUGUAAACCUCUUUUGCCGGGGAGUAACGUCGUCCACGCGUGGGCGAGUGAGAGUACCCGGAGAAAAAGCAUCGGCUAACUCCGUG
rnacentral:rRNA from 1 species